UCCUGCCUUCUACAUCUAUAAGCAGGGACAGGCCCUUGUAAAAACAAAAUGCAAUGGAUGCUGGGAGCACCUGGCUGGUGAGCAUGUGCAGAGCAGGAAAAGAAAGAAGACGGCGAGGUCACUCAACACCGUACUCUGCCCAUCCUGGCCCAUUUCCAUCUCCAGAUCACAAUGUGCUUUCCACACUCUGAUUAAACCCGUCAGCACCCCUGGGAAGGCAUGAUGGUAAAAAUUGAGGCCCAAGGAGGGAAGUGACCUGUCCAAGGUCACGCAAUAGCAGAGCUGGUAAGAGAACGCAGGUCUCUUGAGUCACCACCAGGCUACACAGUACAGUACCGUAGCACUAACCUCAAG